GCAAAAGGAACACAAUAAUCAGAGUUGCUUGCAUAGAAAAUGAAGACUGACUUCUUAAUUCAGGGAUUCUCAUAAUGCAGCCCUAAUGGUGAUGAUCUUGAACAAAGCGCAAAAGGAACACAAUAAUCAGAGUUGCUUGCAUAGAAAAUGAAGACUGACUUCUUAAUUCAGGGAUUCUCAUAAUGCAGCCCUAAUGGUGAUGAUCUUGAACAAAGCGCAAACCACAAUACUUGCAUAUAGCUGGCUCAGGCAGAUCGAGGCAUAUAUACUCAAUUGGAUGUCCAAGAGCAGGUGAGUCUCCUUCGCAGGCAGCAAUCCUUCCCUCAACCUUGAUAGGUGGAACUUCACUGAUCAAUUCCAUGGGAGAUUUCUUGCUAGUAUCCUGCAUCCAUUUCUCUGUAUGAGAGGUGAUGACCUCGCUGCUAGCAACGCCGCUGAGACUUCUGGUGUUGGACCGGACAAUGGAAGAUGCUCCGGUUAGGGUUUUGAGGAGAUUGGUAGCCAUUGUCAUGCCUUGUUUUGAUGCCAUUGAUAUUUUGCCCCAACGCUAAAAUUCCCACUGCUAUUCAACAAAUGCGAUUUAGCCUCCCUCGACUCGGAC
rnacentral:misc_RNA from 1 species